AGUUCCAAAAAAAUUUUAUCACAAUUUUAUUUUUAUUUUUUUAAUUGACAGUUGUUGUUUUUUGAUUGAAUAAUUGUGAAACAAAUUGAACUCCACAGUUUCUGCUGCAGUGAGUCAAUAACGAUGUCGUGAUACAUUUAACCACAUCUUCCCUCUGCCGCCACCUAGAGGAUAAAAGAGCUUCUACACUGCUACUUCAGUGACCCAUUGGCCAUACCUCGAAACUUCUGAAGUGAGGAACUUUUAACAUUUUAAAAGCAAAGUUAAUUUUUUAUACGAUAUAAAUUAACAUCUUUCUUUAGUAUAAAUCCAGGACGAAGACCAAAGACUACUCCUGAGCAUUUUACGUGGAAAACACAGGAGAGAAAAAGACAGGACACGUGACUUGUGUCAAGGUUCACGCGCGGCGCUUCUUCACGCAGCUGACUGCUAGUUUAUCGUUUUUAUUUAUUUAUUUUUGGUAAUUAGGUUUUAGCUACAAACGGAACACAAAAAAAAAUAAAAAAAUAAAAAUCAGGACCCUGAAGUGUUCGAGGACCGGGUCCGACCAUGAACUGUUUGCGAAGUGAUAAAUACAAAGUUCCACAUCUGCAGACUGCUUCCAAUUAGCGACUCUGUGACUGGAGCCUCUGACUCUGGUAAUAGGAUCCGUCCUACACGCUGCAGGCCAUGCUGUGUUUACCAUCAUUGCUGCUGUUUUGUUCUCCACCAACUCUGUUGUUUACUUGCCCCUUUGGGAAACAUUUCCAGGUAAUUGUCGUGACAGAUUAUUCUACAACACCUCAACCUAUUUUUGGAGCUAUUUCUGAUUCCUCCGUGUAUUAAAACGUUUUUCCGAGUUAACAGUUUUUAAGAAAAUACGGAAGACUGAUGUCCCACAGCAAGCAGAGAGCUCGGUGACGGUGGACUUUGGACAGUAGGACAACACUGGUGGUGGGUCCAAGGAGCCAAUCUCCAGGUGAUCACUGGCAAGAUCCCCAACAAAGACAAGCCAGGCAAGGUACGCCAAUACAGCCCUGUACAUAAGUCACAAGAACAGAAAAAUGUAUUUGUAAUACUCAAUUUACACAUGCAUUAUUUAUGUUUUAAAACAUGUAACAAUUUAGUUACCAACAGUUGAGAUUAUUUAAGUGUUUUGUUCCUGUUACAAUACUUUCAGUACAAUUUACUUUGUGUGCUAACAGUGUUAGUACACAAAAGUGGAAACGAACUUUACCAGUAUCCCGUUUACACAGAACACUUGGGUGAUGCAGGUUUUUAAUUACUUACAGGUAGCUCAGAUGCUAACAUAAACAAGGCUAACUUUCAGUGAAGCUCCAUUUUUGGCUGCUUGUUUAUUCUAUCCAGGAAACAAAAAAUAUAUUGAAACUUUAGGCAUUGUUUAGUUAAAGUGAACACAUCUGUUUUAGAACUGAAAAGGUCUGUUUUUUGAUGGGAGUGAUUAUCACUGGCUUGUGCUUAAUUUUGCAGAUCUUCACCACUGCACAUUAAGAGGCCGUUUGCAUUUUGAAAAUGCUUCACGUUUGUCAACAAACUUCUUUACUCCACAGAAACAACACUUGAGCUAGAUGUUAUAAGUACUUUAAUAAUGUAUUGUACGUGAACAGUAGCAUUGUUUGUGCAUUUAGAUUUUGAGGAGACUCUCGGGUGGACCCAGAACUCUCAACUGGGACCAUUUCCCUUUUGAACUCCUUCGUACACCGGGAGAGGGAUGUUUGUGCUUUCCUCUUGAACUUGUGAUCUCUGCAAUCUGGGUAUUAGAUGAGUGGAUAAAACAUAUAUUGACAGAUGUAUUAUGUCAUUUUCAUCUUUCAGGAUGACAGUGUGAGGACAGUGUUGUAGGCUUUUUGUUUUAAGAAAAAGUUGGUUAAAGUUGGGACUUAAUCUUUAACAAUCUGUUUGAAAUGAGACCUUAAAACUUUAGAAAGUCCAGCAGGAAGCUCUUCCAUUACUCAAACGUCUAAAUUUUUGAGUGGCACUUAUCUCCAGUUGCUAUUUUAGUAAAGUACCUUGCUGCAUACACUCACCUGAACAAAACUGCAGUCACAUAUCACAGGUUUCAAGCUGUAUUUUCACUUUGCUUUAAAUAGCUACCUCUGUUUUCAUGAAGGACCACAUAGAAACCCCCCUGUUACUCAACAUUGCACGAAUCCAUUUAGGAAGACCCAAAGAUGUAAACACGCUGGUCCAGUGGCACAGAUAACAAAACUAAGUGCAAACUUUAUUUUUGGCUUGUACCGGUGAAGCAUGUGAUGUACAGUGUCCCAGAGGCAACACGUGUUAUGUUAGCGGCUGGGCACUUCAUAUCAUCCACUGAACAAGUGAAAAGGAGCCAAUUUAUCUCUCAGACUUAUGUCAGCACAUGUCCAGUCUCGCUUUGAUCAGACUAAUCUAACUAAUGUGUGUGGUGGAUUAUGGAACUUAAAACUGGAAGGAUUAAGUUGCUCUUUCUGGAGCAGGUCAGAAAGAGCAACUUAGACCAAUAAUUAGGUCUUACUGACCUAAUUUAUUGCUGGCAAAAAUAAUGAUGGAUGAAAACUUGUUUUGUAUUGAAACUGUUGAAUUGUUAGGUUUGUGUUACCGUAAGUUUAGGAAUGAUUAAGUAAGCAAAGAUUUUCAUGCUAUUGCAAACAAACAAUAAAAGAAGCCACCUUUUACACUCUUUUCUCCAGUAAGAAACUUGCAUAAAUAUAGAAAUUAAUAGGUGUACAUACUUUAGUCUAUUUGGGCAAGCUGGUGGAUUUGCAGGCAUUUUAAAUGGUCAGACAGUGGUGUGUCGCUGCUUGGUGGACUGUGAGCUAAAAACACUGCAGAGCUGUCUGUAUGAAGCCAUUAUGUGGGAAUUGUUUGGGGAGGAAGGGAUAGUCAGUGGUGUAACUGUACAAAAAAUGUGGCAUAAUCUGACUAGUGAUAUCCAUGGAGUUAUUGAAACGAUCUAAAAGUUCAGUUGAAGUAAUGUCCAGACCAAGGAGGAGUUCAUUUAACAAUGUUGUCUGGUAAAUUCUGAGCCUACCAAGUGUAGGUCUUUAGGCAGGAACUGGUUGGUACCAUUGUGAUUAAAUGACUGAACUGUCAGUGAAAUAUAAACAGGAUUAAAAUGGGUGUAGUGACCAUGAAGACUUUUGACAAGAAUUUCCCCAUGGUUUUUUUUUUUCGCUUUCAAAGCUUUCACAACUCUAAAACUUUUGUUUUCAGUUCCAGUGGGAACUGAAAACAUUUUUGAGAAAUAUACAAAGUCUAGAGAUAUGAUUUUUCCUUUAAAGAGAUUUUUAAGGGAUCAUGAUAAAGCAAUUUUCUCUUUGGCCUCCACAGUAUUUCCUGGACAACAUCCUGUUGGUGUUUUUUCAUCUGACUUAAACAGUCAUCCCACUAAUUCAAACUAUUUCCCAAUCAUCUUCUGCAGAAAGCAUUCUCGUUCAAGGCGUCCAUUGUGUGUAUGUUCACGUUCCUCAUGUUUGGAUAAAGACUUCAAGAGGAACCACUCAACUAGUUCUUUCUACUUUUAUAAUUCAUCACUUCAGCACUUCUUACCUGCUUCUGUAAAGCGUAGCAACACAGUCAAUAUGCAGCACUAGACAAAAAAAACAACUAUUAAACUAAAGCUCCAUGUCUACCUGCAUUUCUCGUCUCCUACAUGUAGCAUUAAAUAUUUAAGACAUCACCUAAUGGAAAAGAAGGACGACGGAUCACUAAAUUUGAGUAGUUUGUUUCUUUUAUGUUCAUCCACAUAUUUCUUACUUUUCACCUUUCCCCUCUGGAGACUAUUUGCUCUCCUGCCUGCCUAAGCUGGUCCGCUGGAUUUUAUGAUUCAGAUUAAAGUGACCUUGAGCUGACCUAUAAGGGUCACUCUCUAGACAAUAUGCUGGUUUUAAAACCAGUACGCACUCUUAAAACUGUGUUCGUUCCAUUUUACUUUUACAUAUUAUGACUAAGAUCAUCGUUUAUACUUUGCUCUGCACAAAUUCUGUCUCUCAGAGCUGUUAAGAAAAUCAAAAUUUGGAAAUAUUUCCCAGUUUUACGUGGUGAUACCAAUGAUAUAGCUGUUUUAAAAGCCUCAUAGCGUUAUUGCGGUGUAACGCUAUGGCCCAUGUUUUUGAAAUGGGCCAUUAUUGACAGUUGCCCAGGGUGGCAUUAGAAGGAGGAAGCACACAAAAUAACACCUGUCUGUCUAAGAGAUAUGACAGUUUUCUGUAUCGCACAAAUAAUACAAAAUACUGGCAUCAUAAUUCAUUUAUUCACCUGGAUUUUUUUUUUCACAGUAUACAUAAUACAAAAAUAUAGAGUACCAAAAGUUUACAGUGUCCAAAAAAGGCAGUGUUCAGUCAAAUUCACAUUAAGCAAGUUUUUUUUAGGGCAAGAAAAUUACUUUUAGAGCUCUUUGAGCAAAGUGUGAGGACGAUACUGAAUUAAGUGUUCAACAGUUCUCUAUCCAAAUUGGGUGUUUUCUGCUUCUUAUCUCAACACUUGCAAAAGUAUUCACUCCUCUUGAACCUUUUUCACAUUUAUGAGGUUGUAACCACAAACUCCAGUUUACACAAUAGACCAAUACAAAGUAGUGUUCACUUGGGAAGUGAAAAGGAUAUAUGUGGUUUCCAAUGUUUUUAUACAUAAAAAACUUAAAAGUGUACCGUGUAUGUAUGGUAUUUAUGCCUUACACGAUAGAGAUAUGGCGCUUUACCUUAACUGGCAGCUUAAGGAGGUUUUUAGUGACUACAGGGUGAAAACCUUUGCAUGGCUCUAUCUCUGAGAGGGUGUCUCAUUAUAGUCAGAUUUGUGAUUUAGACAUACACAGUAAUAUAAACAUGGCACAGAAACAAACAAAAAAACACACAAUUUCUUUCUCAUUUUGAGAAAUGAGAUCAAGGACACAAAAAUAAUAAAAAAAAAUUCAGUUAAGGGCAGGUAUAGUACAAGUAGGGGUUUUGCUACAUCAGCAAGAAGUGAACAGAAUUUGUCACCAACUUGAAACGGUAUUAUGUUUUUUGCUAUUUUACAAUAAGAUGUAAUUUCUAACAUAUUCGGAAAAGAUAUCCGUCAAAGAAACAUUGUCAUUUGGCACCAGAUACAUAGAAAAAUGUGUAAUUUCAGCUAAAAGUGCAGAAAUGUUCAGUACAGAAUAUCUCUGGUGUUAUUAAUGACGUCUUUGCUUAAUGAGUGCUAACGCAGAAAUUCUAGGAUAAAUUCAUACUUUAUGAAAAUUAUAUGAUAAUAAUACAGAAUGUUACAACCUUGAGUAAGGCACAUUGCACUGAAACCAUUUUUACCUCCUUUCAAAUGUCUUCUGUUUAUACUUUAAACCUUCCAGCACUUUAACCUUUUGUGGCAAAUCUGCUACUAAUGCCUGUUGAUGCAUAUUCUCAACAUACCAAGGAUCAUAUUUUGCAUCUUUCUAAUUAAACCUAGAAUGCUAUUUGUA